GUCAUAUCAAAUCUAAUAUUUCUUUCACUACCCUGUUUUUUUUUAGAUUUUUUUCUUUGAACUUGGUAACUUAAUCAGUUUAUAUUAUGUUGAUCUCGGAAUCUUCAUGCUGAAAUCAAACAUAUAUGAGUUUAUUAUGGAUUGUAUGGAUUGACUAUUCUUGUUCUAAUUUCUUAUGGGGAUUGAUUAUUUUCUAGAGGAUUUACCACUUAUGUUUACCACUUAUGGGGAUUGAUUAUGGAUUGACUAUUCUUUCUUUAGUGCUGCUGUUAAUAGUUGUGGGUAUUGGUUCAAGCCUAAUACAAGUUAUUUUCAAGCAUUCAUCUUGCUUGAAUGCUGUAUGUUUAUAAAAGGAAUCGUAGGUUCAAGUCUAAUUCAAGUUGGGUUUCAAGAUCCUAAUGUGGCUGGAUCUAAUUCAAUUACAGCCCUACCCUUUGGUUAAUUAAGUGCACCUAGCAUUUCUUUGAAAUAAACACAUCAUCUUUCUGUUUAAGCCAAAUCAUUUGAAAUAAAUAAAUCAUUUCCUAGUUCAUGCAUCCUAUAUCAAUAAAUAGUUGUUUAUCUUUCUUCCCCUUUAUUAUAUCAUCCAUUUUUUAUAUUCUUAUAGAUGGAUAAUGAAACGUUGACUGCAAUCGUUGGAGCUGCAACUAGUGGAGUUGUAGUUGCAUUGACCAUUGUUCAAGAGUGGUUAGACUAUAUUGAUAGGGAAUCUUCCGUUAACCAAGACUUGUAACAACAAGAUCUACUAGAUCUGUUGUAUAGGGGGAGACAUAUUGAUUGCUACUAUCAAUUAAAAAUGGGUAAAGAAGCCUUCUACAAGCUUUGCAAAAUUUUAUGGGAGAACGGACGACUCCACAAAACAUUGAGGACUAGUGUAGAAGAACAAGUUGAUAGAUUCUUGAAUACUUUAGCACAUAAUGUUAGGAAUAGGACUAUGGGAUUUCACUUUAGUAGAUCGGGUGAGAUAGUUAGUCGCCAUUUCAACUUGGUGUUAAAUGCGGUUCUCAAUUUAGAAGAUAAAUACCUGGUUCAGCCAAGUGGCACAGACACACCACCUAAGAUUAGAAACCAACAAGACUUUUGGCUAUAUUUUAAGGUCAUUGUGGUGUUAAUUUGUAAGAUAUCUAAAUUUAGGUGAUGAAUCAUAUAAUAAAUACAAACGGUAUGACUUGCUUGGUAGGAUUGUUUUAGGACAAUUGACAGGACACAUAUACCUGUAAAAGGUCCACUGUCAAAUGUAGCUACAUUCCGUGGUCGGAAGUCCUAACCCACACAAAAUAUUCUUGUUGCAUGUUCAUUUAACUUGCUUUUCACAUAUGUUUUACCUUGAUGGGAGCGAGUUGCAUCAAAUUCCCACAUGCUAAAUAGUGCAUUGACAAGGGAACACAAACUACAAGUCCCAAAAGGUAAAUAUUACCUGGUAGAUACGAGUUUUGCUCUCAAGGUUGGGUUCUUAGCCCCAUAUCGAAGCACAAGAUACCAUUUGAAGGAAUGGGGUUUGCAUCAACCUAAGAACCCCAAAGAGUUGUUUAACCUCCAUCAUGCCUCACUUCGAAAUGCAGUUGAGCAGAUUUUUGGGGUCCUUAAGAAACGUUUUCCACUCCUAAUUUCCGAGCAACACUACCCAUUCAAAACAUAAGUCAAUAUUGUGUCUGCAUUGUGCAUAUUACAUAAUCAUGUAAUGGGAGUGGACCCAUAUGAUCAAAUCAUGUCUCAGUAUGAUCGUGAGGUAACUGAAGGUGUGGAUGUUGAUGUAGAUGACGGGGCAGAGCCAGAUGAUGUGUUUGAUGACACUCAUGUGUCUCAUCCAUCUCAACGCAUUGGCAGAAAUGAGUCUGUGAGAGAAGGACACCGUCUUAGAGAUAAGAUAGCUAACCAAAUGUGGGCAGACUACCAAGUGACUCGAUCGAGACACCGUCAUUAAACAUCCUUUUUUUUUUUACCUUCACAUGUACUUUGUUUGACUUCAUUAUGCAGAUGUAAUCUUGGUUAAAGUGCUACUAUCUAUGGUUGUUUGCUUGACUUGGGUGUUUUAUAAACCUUUGUGGUAUUAACUUUAACAUGGGUGGUGUUGUUUGAUUUCGAAUGAAAGACCUUGAUUUAUAUGUA